rnacentral:misc_RNA from 1 species
AGGAGGAGGAAACGCUGAGUCGGCUAACUUUGCCCUGCCAGUCCCUCGCUCGCCCUCCCUUGGCCCCACGUGCGCUGCACAUACGCGCUGAUAGGCCGCCUCGCACUGUGUCGCGCCGGCAUUCAUCAUCUCCAUACGUCUCCGUUCCAUGUGACCACCUUGCCAGCGACGGUUUCUCCUUGCUGACCGUCAGCGAUCUCGAAGCGUGUGAGCCCGCACAAAUCAAAAACCACGCAUACCGCCAGCUGCAACGCACGCCAAUGCGUCUCUUGGGCAAGGCUGCUCACCCGGAUGGGUCGAUGGAGGUGCGCGUCUCGGUCGGCACCGCAGAGGACUUGUGGCACCUGUACAACUUUAUUCUCGUAGGCGAUCUCGUUCUUACCAAGACACGCCGCAAGGUCCCGCGCGAGAACGCGCUUGGCACCCUCGCCGCAGAGAUGAAGAUGCUCAACCUUGAGGUGGAGGUGAAGCACAUCGCCUUUACCCCGGACGAGCUGCGUAUUCAAGGCGUGAACAAGAAAGAAAACAACUUUGUGAAGACGGGUGCUCAUCACACCCUCACCAUUCACGCGAGUCCGCCUCAGGAGGUGCGGAUCACUAAGCGAGAGUGGGACUCCAUCUGCGAGGAUCGCCUCAAGGACGCGUGCGACGAGUCCGGCAAAGCAGACACGGCUGCCGUGCUGAUGAGCUUCGGCGAGGCCCAAGUCAUUCUCGUGACGCGCUCCUUCAUGCACAUCAAAGCCAAGGUCGAGGUCACCAUCUCGAAGAAGCACAAGAGCGAUGGCAAGGCGCGUGACAGGAGCAUCGAGCGCUUCUUUAAGCAGUCCCUUGAUGCCCUCGCCACACAUGUUAACUUCGAGAAGACGAAGCUCGUUCUGCUGUGCUCCCCGGGCCACGUGCGGGAAGAGUUCCACGCGUACAUCAAGGAAGUCACCCAGCGCGCAGACCACGGCCCUCUCCGUGAAGUGUAUCUCAACCUCUCCAAGUUCCUUCUCGUAAGGGUCGCGUCGACGACGAUCAGCGGGCUCAAGGAGGCUCUCAGCGACCCUGGUGUGGCGCAGCGCAUGGAGUCGACCAAGUGCGUCGACGACAUCCGCAUGUGGGAGAAGUUCCAGGAUACAAUGAACAAGGACCCAGACAGGUGCGUUUACACCCCACAGUACGUCUACUACGCCGCGAUGGCCGGUGCUGUUGGCGGCCUCAUGAUUAGCGACAACGUCUUUCGCUCCGAAAACCCGACCGAGCGGCGCUUUUUCUUGUCCCUCGUGAACUUCGUGCGUCAGAGUGGAUCGUCCACUGUGAACGUCUUCUCCAGCAAGCACGUCACCGGCGAGCAGCUGACGCAGCUUGGCAGCGUAGCGGCGGUGCUGCGGUUUAGCUGCCCUGAGAUUGAUGACAUGGAGGUGGUGCCAGAGUUUUUGGCCUCCAAGGAGGUGGAGGAGUUCAUUCGGGCGAACGCGGCCGCCCGCGUGACGGUCUAGGCCGACUCGAGGCUGUAAGGGAGGGGGCGACUGACACUUGCGCGGCACCUGCUUGCCAGCGCGUCGCCUCAUCACCUACUUCCCCGUAUUUGUGUCCCGAUGCGGCGCAGAGACCCUCCACAGCGUACACGAGCGCCUUCCGCUUGCCCAGCUCACAUUCUGAUAAUGUUGUACCUCCCCCCUCUACACGCCUGUAG